UACGUAGGUGGCAAGCGUUGUCCGGAAUUAUUGGGCGUAAAGAGCUCGUAGGCGGUUUGUCGCGUCUGCUGUGAAAACUCGGGGCUUAACUCCGGGCCUGCAGUGGGUACGGGCAGACUAGAGUGCGGUAGGGGAGACUGGAAUUCCUGGUGUAGCGGUGAAAUGCGUAGAGAUUUGGAGGAACACCAGUGGCGAAGGCGACUUUCUGGUCUGUAACUGACGCUGAGGCGCGAAAGCGUGGGGAGCAAACAGG
rnacentral:rRNA from 1 species